GCAGUCCCGCCAGGGCCGAGUGUUGCCAUGGGGACCACAAACAGCCUGGGCCAGUAGGAGAGAGGAGGACUUUCCCCAGAGGAAGCGGCCUCACCUGGGGAGACACUCACACGUACCCAAGGAGCAGGGCUGAAGCAGAGGAUGAUCCUGGAGAAGUGCGAGCUACAGACUUCUCCCCAGAGCUCAGGCCUGUCUCUGUCUAUUCAUGGAGUUUGUAAGUCAGCGGUGAAGGCUCAUUGACUGAGGAUGUGUGACUUGGUUCCCCCUGGACGCUGAGGGCAAUGCAGUACCAAUGCACAAUGCAACGACAUGCAAGUCUCUAUGGAUUCUUGAAACACAGGAGACCCAGAAAAUGGACUAGUGCUAUGGACUAGCAGAUGCUGAAAGGGCCACCCCCAGGUGACACUCGAAACAGAUGGAGAUGUGCAGGGAUGGUCCCAGGUUUGAUGGACCAUCCAGGGGUGCUGCUCCCACAGCUCAGUGUCUACAUUCAUGGGACAUCACUACUGGGCUGCCUUCUUCAACAUAACCUCACUCUCCUAAGAAACUCUCAUAAACAACUUUAUUGUUCAUUCUAACAACAUCUGGAAAGACCCAUCAACUCCUCAAUAGGAAGCAGGAAACAACAGUUUAGACAUUAAAACACUUUGAACCUUU